UCACCAGAAGCAGAAGCCAAUUUAUUACCACCGAUUUAGAUAAUGGGAAAUUUGUGCUUUUGUGGCAGCAGUACUUUGCAAGGACAUACAAGUACUAUAACAGAAAAGAAUGAUGCCUGAUGUGCUGAUGGAUGACUGAGAAACCUGAUAGCAGAGGGGAAAAAGCUGAAUCAUUGAGUGUGGGUCCUCAAGCUCCUGUACCUCCUCCCUGAUGGUAAUAAUAAUAAGAAAUCAUAUUCCAGAUUGUGAAACACUGCCACCUUGAAGGGCAUUUACAGAUGGAUCAUAAGUACUAGCCUUGUUGGUGACGCCGAGCAUUGAAAAUAAAAAUAUAAAGAAAAAAACAUUUCUCCUUUGUUGAAUUCUGAAAGAUUUCCAAUGAAGGGUUUCGACCUAAAACAUUAACUUUUCCUACAGCCCCUUUGAAAACUGAUCUCUGGCUACAACAGUGCAUUGCAGAAGGUUUCGGAGAUGCCAUCAGUAUGUCCGCUUCACCCUGAGGUCACACCCAGCGCUGGAGGACCAUUGGGAAAAUAUGC